rnacentral:snRNA from 1 species
GGCUCCUUUAUGAACUCCUAUAUCCAUCCACAAUCCCGAGUCAAGAAUUUAGAUUGCAAGAGAAGAUUAGCAUGGCCCCUAUGCAAGGAUGACAUGCAAAUUUAUGAAGCGUUCCAUAUUUAA